AUUGAACGCUGGCGGCAUGCCUUACACAUGCAAGUCGAACGGUAACGCGGGGCAACCUGGCGACGAGUGGCGAACGGGUGAGUAAUGCAUCGGAACGUGCCCAGUAGUGGGGGAUAGCCCGGCGAAAGCCGGAUUAAUACCGCAUACGACCUACGGGUGAAAGCGGGGGACCGCAAGGCCUCGCGCUGUUGGAGCGGCCGAUGUCAGAUUAGGUUGUUGGUGGGGUAAAGGCCUACCAAGCCGACGAUCUGUAGCUGGUCUGAGAGGACGACCAGCCACACUGGGACUGAGACACGGCCCAGACUCCUACGGGAGGCAGCAGUGGGGAAUUUUGGACAAUGGGGGCAACCCUGAUCCAGCCAUGCCGCGUGCGGGAAGAAGGCCUUCGGGUUGUAAACCGCUUUUGUCGGGGAAGAAAUCUUCCGGGCUAAUACCUCGGGGGGAUGACGGUACCCGAAGAAUAAGCACCGGCUAACUACGUGCCAGCCGCCGCAGUAACAC
rnacentral:rRNA from 1 species